GGGUGAGUAACACGUGGGUAACCUACCUAUAAGACUGGGAUAACUUCGGGAAACCGGAGCUAAUACCGGAUAAUAUUUCGAACCGCAUGGUUCGAUAGUGAAAGAUGGUUUUGCUAUCACUUAUAGAUGGACCCGCGCCGUAUUAGCUAGUUGGUAAGGUAACGGCUUACCAAGGCGACGAUACGUAGCCGACCUGAGAGGGUGAUCGGCCACACUGGAACUGAGACACGGUCCAGACUCCUACGGGAGGCAGCAGUAGGGAAUCUUCCGCAAUGGGCGAAAGCCUGACGGAGCAACGCCGCGUGAGUGAUGAAGGUCUUCGGAUCGUAAAACUCUGUUAUUAGGGAAGAACAUACGUGUAAGUAACUAUGCACGUCUUGACGGUACCUAAUCAGAAAGCCACGGCUAACUACGUGCCAGCAGCCGCGGUAAUACGUAGGUGGCAAGCGUUAUCCGGAAUUAUUGGGCGUAAAGCGCGCGUAGGCGGUUUUUUAAGUCUGAUGUGAAAGCCCACGGCUCAACCGUGGAGGGUCAUUGGAAACUGGAAAACUUGAGUGCAGAAGAGGAAAGUGGAAUUCCAUGUGUAGCGGUGAAAUGCGCA
rnacentral:rRNA from 1 species